rnacentral:rRNA from 1 species
UACGGAUGAUGCAAGCGUUAUCCGGAAUGAUUGGGCGUAAAGCGUCCGCAGGUGGCUAUGUAAGUCUGCUGUUAAAGAGUCUGGCUCAACCAGAUAAAGGCAGUGGAAACUACAUGGCUAGAGUGCGUUCGGGGCAGAGGGAAUUCCUGGUGUAGCGGUGAAAUGCGUAGAGAUCAGGAAGAACACCGGUGGCGAAAGCGCUCUGCUAGGCCGCAACUGACACUGAGGGACGAAAGCUAGGGGAGCGAAUGGG